CUACGGGAGGCUGCAGUGAGGAAUAUUGCACAAUGGGGGGAACCCUGAUGCAGCAACGCCGCGUGGAGGAUGACGCAUUUCGGUGUGUAAACUCCUUUUAUAUGUCAAGAAAAUGACGGUAGCAUAUGAAUAAGCACCGGCUAACUCCGUGCCAGCAGCCGCGGUAAUACGGAGGGUGCAAGCGUUAUUCGGAAUCACUGGGCGUAAAGGACGCGUAGGCGGGUUGGAAAGUCAGGUGUGAAAUCCUACAGCUUAACUGUAGAACUGCACUUGAAACUUCUAAUCUAGGGUAUGGGAGGGGGAGAUGGAAUUAGUGGUGUAGGGGUAAAAUCCGUAGAUAUCACUAGGAAUACCUAAAGCGAAGGCGAUCUCCUGGAACAUUACUGACGCUAAGGCGUGAAAGCGUGGGGAGCAAACAGGAUUAGAUACCCUAGUAGUC
rnacentral:rRNA from 1 species